rnacentral:rRNA from 1 species
CGCGUAGGCGGCCGAGCAAGGUCGCGGUGAAAGCCCGGGGCUCAACCCCGGGUCGGCCGUGGCAACUACUCGGCUCGAGCACUGUAGGGGCGGGUGGAAUUCCGGGUGUAGCGGUGGAAUGCGUAGAGAUCCGGAAGAACACCGGUGGCGAAGGCGGCCCGCUGGGCAGGAAGACGGGGCAACCCGUCGGCUGACGCUGAGGCGCGACAGCGUGGGGAGCAAACA